GGAGAUGUUGCUCAGUUGGUACAGUGUUUGCCUAGCAUCCACAAAGCCCUGGGUUCAAUCCCCAGCACCACCA
rfam:Ictidomys tridecemlineatus contig076143, whole genome shotgun sequence.